rnacentral:rRNA from 1 species
CCUGAUUGAUCCUGCCAAUAGUCAUAUGCUUGUCUUAAAGAUUAAGCCAUGCAUGUGCAAGUAUGAACUAAUUCAGACUAUGAAGCUACGAAUGGCAUAUUAUAGUUUGUUUGAUGGUAUUUACUACUCAGAUAACCAUAGUAAUUCUAGAGCUAAUACGUGCAACAAACCUCGACUUCUAGAAGGGAUGCAUUUAUUAGAUAAAAGGUCGACGCAAGCUAUGCUUAUUGCUUUGAUGAUUCAUGAUAACUCGACGGAUUGCACGCCUUUGUGCCAGCGACGUAUCAUUCAAAUUUCUUUCCUAUCAACUUUUGAUGGUAGGAUAGUGGCCUACUAUGGUGGUGAUGGGUGAUAGAGAAUUAGGGUCGAUUCCGAAGAGGGAGCCUGAGAAACGGCUACCACAUCCAAUGAAGGCAAUAGGCGUGAAAAUUACCCAAUCCUAACACGGGGAGGUAGUGACAAUAAAUAACAAUAUCAAGCUCUAUGAGUCUGGUAAUUGGAAUGAGUACAAUUUAAAUCCCUUAACGAGGAUCCAUUGGAGGGCAAGUUUGGUGCUAGCAUCGCGGUAAUUUUAACUCCAAUAGCAUAUAUUUAAGUUGUUGCAUUUAAAAGGCUCGUAGUUGGAACUAGGGUUGGGUUAUUUGAUCUGCCUUAUGGUGAGCACUGGUUUACUCAUCCCUACUACCGACGAUGCGCUCCUGGACUUAAUUACCUGGGUCAUUCCUCUAGCACCGUUACUUUGAAGAAAUUAAAGUGCUUAAAGUAGGCCUACGUUUGUAUACAUUAGCAUGGGAUAACAACAUAGGAUUUCGGUCCUAUUGUGUUGGCCUUCGGGAUCAGAGUAACGAUUAACAGGGACAGUCAGGGGCAUUCGUAUUAAAUAGUCAGAGGUGAAAUUCUUGUAUUUAUGAAAGACGAACAACUGCGAAAGCAUUUGCCAAAGAUGUUUUCAUUAAUCAAGAACGAAAGUUGAGGGCUCAAAGACGAUCAAAUAUCAUCCUAGUCUCAACCAUAAACGAUGUCGACCAGGGAUCGAUGAUGUUACUUUUAGGACUCUGUCGGUGCCUUAUGAGAAAUCAAAGUUUUUAGGUUCUGGGGGGAGUAUCAUCGUAAGGCUGAAACUUAAAGGAAUUGACGGAAGGGCACCACCAGGAGUGGAGCCUGUGGCUUAAUUUGACUCAACACAGGGAAACUUACCAGGUGCAGACAUAGUAAGGAUUGACAGAAUGAAAGCUCUUUCUUGAGUCUAUGGGUGGUGGUGCAUGGCCAUUCUUAGUUGGUAGAGCGAUUUGUCUGGUUAAUUCUAUUAACGAAUGAGACCUCAGCCUGCUAACUAGCAAUGCGAAGGUGAUCUUUCGUGGCUAAAUUCUUAGAGAGACUAUAGCCGCUUAGGCCAAGGAAGUUUGAGGCAAUAACAGGUCUGUGAUGCCUUUAGAUGUUCUGGGCUGCACUCACACUACACUAAUGUAUUCAACGAGUCUAUAGCCUUGGUCGACAGGCUUGGGUAAUCUUUGAAAUUUCAUUGUGAUGGGGAUAGAUCAUUGCAAUUGUUGGUCUUCAACAAGGAAUUCCUAGUAAGCACGAGUCAUCAACUGGUGUUGACUACGUCCCUACCCUUUGUACACAUUGGUCGUCGUUCCUACAGAUUGAAUGGUUUGGUGAAGUGUUCAGAUCGUGAUGAUGUGGAUGGUUUGCCGCCCGCAACGUUGUGAGAAGUCUACUAAACCUUACCGUUUAGAGGAAGGAGAAGUCGUAACAAGGUUUUCGUAGGUGAACCUGUGGAAG